AGAGAGCAACGAGAAUUUGUUUUUACCUAUUAUACUCUGAUUUUGGGCCGCAACUCGUAUUUUGCACAGACUCGAAUUGGAAUCGCCAGGCUCGUUGGAUAGAUUUCGCGUGCAGGAACGACGGGCCAAAAGUCAGUUCUGACUUCCCUCUUUCGCGUUAGACGAUCCGGGUCCCCGAAACUCCCUCCCACGAAGCCUUGGCGUCCACCUCCAGAUCCGCGCGUUUCCCCACCGCGUGAACCCCAUCUCGGCCAGAUCCAGGGCGAGGCCGGCGGCGGACGGGCGAGGGGCGAGGCAGGCGGCGGGGAACACAGCGGAGCCGGCGAAGGGGAAGGCAGAGGAGGGGAACUUGCGAUUUGGAGUUCCUCGAUCUGAAGAAACUUGCGGUUUCCGACUUGGACUCAAGAUGGUAAAGAGGAUGGAUAGGAGGCGGAAUUUCCUGAUUAGGGGAGCUGCAACGUUUGUGGUUUUCGCAUUGGUUGCAUUGGUCAUUCGGGAUAGAAUAAAAAAGAGGAGACCCCGGGUUACCUAUGGACCUAUUUGGGAGAGAGACCUACAAAGAAUCAAUUAUCUGAACAAUAAAAUUUUCAAGUGUGAUGUGAGAUGCAGAAAUAUGCUAAGGGUUGAAAGAGCACCCUUUUUUCGAUUGUGUGAAAUUUUGAGGGAACUUUUGUUGCUGAGAGACAGUAUACAUGUAUCCGUGGAGGAGCAAGUAGCAAUGUUCUUGAAUACUAUUGGCCAUAACCUUAGAAAUAGGGUUAUUGGGGCUAAUUUUGACAGGUCAAAUGAGACGGUAAGCCGCUAUUUUAGACUAGUCCUUCACGCAAUAGCUGAGCUACGAGCUGAAUAUAUCAGGCCACCUUCCUUGGAAACUCCAGCCAAAAUUGCAGGGCACCCAUGGUUUGACCCAUAUUUUAAGGAUUGCAUUGGAGCAAUUGAUGGUACACAUGUUCGAGCAUCAGUUAGUAAAGAUAUGGAACCUUCCUUUCGUGGUCGGAAGUCUUUUUCUACUCAAAAUGUCAUGGCAGCAGUAGAUUUUGACCUUCGGUUCACAUAUGUUUUGGCGGGUUGGGAGGGGACAGCACAUGAUGCGACCAUUUUAGCAGAUGCUAUAGAGCGGGAGAAUGGCCUGUAUGUCCCUCGAGGAAAAUUCUACCUAGUUGACGCUGGUUAUGGAGCCAAGCCUGGGUUUUUGCCACCUUUUCGUGCCGUGAGAUCCAUCAAGGAAGACGGCUCGCCGCAAUCCCCACCCACCCAACGCCCCCGGCUCUCCGGCGCCUCGCCGUUCCUGCUCUUCCUCGUUGGGACAUCGCCCUUCCCGCCGUCUCCGCUCCUGGUGACUCGGCGCUGCAGCGCAGGAUGCAGAGGCCGGGGGAUUUCAAGCUUCCCCCUUUCUUCAACUACCCGCCCUACUUCACUUUGCAGCCUGUGAGAGAAACACGUGAAAAGCAAGUGCAGCUAUGGAAAGAUCUGAUACUUGAUUACUGUAGAACUCAGAAGAUAUAUAUAGUCCCCCUAGAAGAAGAUUUCCCACUCUUCUCCAAUUCAAACAUUGAGAGAUCUUUAAGCUAUGAAGCAAAGGAAGUGUUCCUUGCAGCUCUUGUUAAUGAAGGGCGUGCGGAGUGGAUGGACAAAGGUCAUAAGAGAUGCCUUAUCCUUUGGCUUCGGAUACAGGAUUGGGCCAACUACAUAUUAGACUUUGUAAG